rnacentral:rRNA from 1 species
AGAGUUUGAUCCUGGCUCAGAUUGAACGCUGGCGGAAUGCUUUACACAUGCAAGUCGGGCGGCAGCGCGAGGCAACCUGGCGGCGAGCGGCGAACGGGUGAGUAAUGCAUCGGAACAUGUCCAUUUGUGGGGGAUAGCCCGGCGAAAGCCGGAUUAAUACCGCAUGAGCCCGAGAGGGGAAAGUGGGGGACCGCAAGGCCUCACGCGAAUGGGUUGGCCGAUGUCCGAUUAGCUAGUUGGUGGGGUAAAGGCUCACCAAGGCGAUGAUCGGUAGCUGGUCUGAGAGGAUGAUCAGCCACACUGGGACUGAGACACGGCCCAGACUCCUACGGGAGGCAGCAGUGGGGAAUUUUGGACAAUGGGGGCAACCCUGAUCCAGCCAUUCCGCGUGAGUGAAGAAGGCCUUCGGGUUGUAAAGCUCUUUUGUCCGGAGCGAAAAGGCGAGCGUGAAUAGCGCUCGCUACUGACGGUACCGGAAGAAUAAGCACCGGCUAACUACGUGCCAGCAGCCGCGGUAAUACGUAGGGUGCGAGCGUUAAUCGGAAUUACUGGGCGUAAAGCGUGCGCAGGCGGUUUUGUAAGCCAGAUGUGAAAUCCCCGGGCUCAACCUGGGAAUGGCAUUUGGGACUGCAAGGCUUGAGUGCGGCAGAGGAGACUGGAAUUCCUGGUGUAGCAGUGAAAUGCGUAGAUAUCAGGAGGAAUACCGAUGGCGAAGGCAGGUCUCUGGGCUGACACUGACGCUCAUGCACGAAAGCGUGGGGAGCAAACAGGAUUAGAUACCCUGGUAGUCCACGCCCUAAACGAUGUCGACUGGUUGUUGGGGGUUUGACACUCUCAGUAACGAAGCUAACGCGUGAAGUCGACCGCCU